rnacentral:lncRNA from 10 species
UGAAAAUAUUGGCUAUUUCCUUCUGACCCCCAUGGUUUCUUUUAAAAAAUUUGCUGUUGUUUGAAUUAUUUUUCUCUACAGGUAAGUAUUGACUGCUGCCUCAUGAAGGCUGGUCCUGUCUCUAUAGUGAAUAUUGUGCACCUCAGGGUAGAAUGGAGAGCAGAAGACUUCAAAUCAGGCAGUCUGGGUUCAGACCCCAAUUCUAGUGCUAAAUAGCUACGUGACUUUAGGCCGAUUGUGUGUGACUUCCCUGAGCCCCAGUCUCUUUGCCUGCAAAAUGAGAAAAAUUAUAACAAUGUCAUCGGUUGUUCUGAGGAUUCUGAGAGGAAUUAGUAGGAGAGAGAACUAAGAAGCUGCGGGCCUCUACAGAGCCAUUCA